rnacentral:rRNA from 1 species
GCGGAGGAUCAUUAAUAAUUGUGAAUCGUUGCCUUUGGUGCUGGCCCCGGCAUGUGCACACUGGUGACUUUCAUCCAAUACCCUUGUGAACCCUUUGCCUCUUGCUGGCUUUGGCUGGCAGAGGAUUUUAUACACAACUCGAAUGUAAUGAAACCUAUUAUUGUGCGCAAGCACUAAUGUACAACUUUCAACAACGGAUCUCUUGGCUCUCGCAUCGAUGAAGAACGCAGCGAAAUGCGAUAAGUAAUGUGAAUUGCAGAAUUCAGUGAAUCAUCGAAUCUUUGAACGCACCUUGCACCUUUUGGUAUUCCGAAGGGUAUGCUCGUUUGAGUGUCAUUGUACUCUCACACUCUUCGAUCCUUUGGAUUUGGGGAGUGGUGGACUUGGGUGUUGCCGCUUUACUGUGGCUCAUCUCAAAUGCAGUAGUGCAACUCUUAGUUGGACAUAGUACGGCGUGAUAAGUAUCUUCGCCGGCACCUCGCAUUGAGGGUGGCUAAUUGAGAGCUCUGUGCUUCAAACCGUCUUCAGACAAUCACUGACAACUUGGCCUCAAAUCGAGUAGGACUACCCGCUGAACUUAAGCAUAUCAAUAAGCGGAGGAA